UAUUUGCAAUUCUGCAAUUUAAGAUGCAUUUCUUUCACAGGGCACAGUUAAACUACAGGUGUAUGGAAACAUGUGAAUGUAAACAAACAAAGGAAGAUCCUGCUGCAGCCUUCCGUGUUGGAGGACUCCUGCUCUUGCUGCAGUGUCCUGUGUGACCUCUCAGAUGUGGCACAAGACUGUCUGAUUCACUAGACAUCAAAUGCCUCAAGGAUGGAUUUAAUUUUGUACAGUUCUCAGACUUGAUGGCUAAUAGCAGUAAUGCCGAACACAAACAUCUGGACUCACUGCAGGAAAUCAUUUCCUUUGUUCUGAGAGUCGAACCAGCAACCUGAGUGAAUGGCGUGGAAGAGCUUCAGUGCCUCAGCCAGCGAUCCAGAAAUAAAACGUUAAGCCUUACUGAAGUAAGAAGGGAAACUGACAAGACCUAAAAACUGAACUUCAGGGAACAUUCUCCCACCAUCAAAGUGAUCGUCUAUUCAGAAUUUUGAUAUUUGGAAAAUGGUAGGGCAAGAGAUGUAGAAUACAGGAUUUGGGGUGUGUUUUUCUUAAGUAACUCAUAAGCACUCUAAAUAUAGCGAAAACCCUGCACUGUACCCUCAAAGGGUUGACAGCACCAAAUGAAGAGGAAGAUUUUUAAUAACUAUAUUUGAAACCCUGGUCCUUGCCCAACAAGAUGGAGAUAAAGUUUCCAAACCCGCAUGCUAGAGAUUGUGGAAAUUCAAUAUUUCUCUGAAUAUCUGGGAGACCAGGACACACGAACAGUGGUUUACAAUCACAGAAUUACUUUUUCCCGCCACCCUCCCCAACCCCCACCCC
rnacentral:lncRNA from 10 species